rnacentral:sRNA from 1 species
GGGCCUUUUACCGAAGGCUUUUAAGCCUUCGGUAUUGAGGUAAUUAUCGAAGGCUUUUUAGCCAUCGGUAACGUCCACGUUAAUUUAAGUCCCAAAUUGGGUCAUUCGAUCCCCAAUUUCAUUUCACUUGAGCUUCGUUGUGUGUGUCUGUGUCAUCCCUCUCUGCAAACACUUCCCUCCCUUGCUUCACACUCCGUGAGGUUGUCGGUUAGUGACCGGUGGUUGUCCGUCACGGUGGUGAGUGGUGCGUUGGUCGGUCUUGGUUGACUCUGCGUGGUUGUUUGGGGAGUGUUGUGGUAGGGUUCGUGGUGGGUUGGUUGGUUCGUUGACGGCUGGUGGUGUGGAGGUUGAGGGACUUUGCCGGAGGGGCCGUUGUGGGCUUCCGUCGUUGUCGUGCUCAUCAAGCGGUUUCUUGGUAGAGGAACUUGCUUGACGGACUUCGUUGGAGUGGCCGUUGUGGGGCGUCGCCGUGGUGGUGUACAAAGGUUGCAUCGUCAAGGGCUAUCUCGGUUAAGGUAAGUUGGGCGUUUAAAAAUUCAUUAUGAGUUUCAAUGUUGUUGAAUUGUUUGAUGUUGUUGUGGCUUGAUUGUAUGAUCUUUGAUUGAGAAAGAUUGGUUUUUAAUUGGAAUGAGGGGCAAGGAAUUUAGUUAGCAGUGAAAAGGUUUAUAUAACCUUAACCGUAGUUUAGGGAAAAUAAAAGCAAACGAGUAUAUUGAAGCUUGAUCAACAGUGGCAAUUGUUGUAACAGUUUCGUUUGUUUCUAAUGCCUGCAAGUGUGUGCUCUAAGUAUGCAAAACUUGAAACCUCCCAUUCAUUUGCUUUCAAUCAACGUGCACAUAAUGUUAUAUAUUGUAAAUGGUUGAUAAUAUAACAGUAGGUAGCGGUCCAAACUAUAAAUCCUAGUAGCAAGUCAACUCAUGCAUCAUCCAAUAGCUUUUGGUGCCUUUGCCUGCACUGCCACGGUAAUAGACUAAUGUUUUUUUGAGUCAAAUGCAGUCAUUGCCUUGUCCACCUUGUGAGUACAAUAUUUUUCCUUCUGUCCUGCACUCCCAUUGCUGUCUGCUAACACACAAAAGCUUGUUCUGAUUAGUAUUAGUCCAAUUCAUUGUAUCAUGGUGUAUGUUGUUGGUUUUGAAAUUCAAAGGAGGUAUUAUUCACUUUAUAUUUUUCUUACAAAAGUAUGUUAAAUAUUAAAUUUGGUUCAAGUUUAUAAUGUGACUGUCAUUCUCAGUUUUUGGCUGUAAAUAUUUACUAAAUCAAAUGCUGCAAUGUGAAAUCAUGAAAAAGCUUCCAGAAUAGGGCAAAAAAGAAAAGGAUGGAGGGGUGUUAAGCAUUGUCAUUAUACUGUAGGAGGGUUCUUUUAGUGGCACAGCCUCUGUUUGAGAAUCAAGUGUUAGCUAAUUAGAAGAUUUGUUGGUGUUUACUUUUACGUUAUUAUAUAUAUUGAUAAUAAUCCUAAUAAUUAUGAGGAAAUGUGUAUGGUAAUGUGUAUACUAAAGCACGGGUUUUGUUGGUAAAAGAAGGAGAUGUGGUUGAGAUAAUAAUAAUUGUUAGGGGAAAAGUAAUGAGUUUGAUGACAGUUUGGUCCUCGUGGGUUAUGAGUGGUAGAAACGUGAAGCAUCAUUGUUGACAGAGGGUGGUAUUUUGGAUGUGUCUACUUUUCUUCUCUGAGUGAAUUUGUGAAACAAUUCAUGGGUGUGGCCCCCUUCAACUUCCCCCUUUCUAAUUUUUUUUUGGACUUUGGUUGCAUCAAUCUAUGCUAUGUAAUUCUGGCCUCCAUCCACUCCCACACUUGUGUACUGUACAUAGUCAUUAUUUUUUUGUAAUUUCUCAUCUAAGUUCAUAUUUAUGUUUUUAUUAGCAUUUUUUUAUAUGUUAUAAAUUAAAAUGUGAUUGUGUUUAGUGUGUUAAAAAGGCAUUCAUGGAUAUGUUGGUAGGGUUUUUUUGAACUCAUUUUAGAGUUUAAAGACAAUGAUAAUCAUGAAACAAAGUUGCUUGAACAUUCAUUUGUGUUUAAAUCACUUUAUAUAUGGUCUAGUAUGAAACUAGAAAACUAUGGACUAUAUGUAGUGCAGAAUUAGUAUUCCACCUAAGGUUUGAUUGUUUUGUGUAGUUGGAACACGUUUAAUAUCAUUAAAUUGAAACCAUUAGCCACAUGGUUACGUCCUCUGAUAAAGCAUAAAAAAGGUAGCUCAAAUCUAAGGAUUUUCAUUAUGCUUAGUGUCCUGUGUGAGACCAACUACGGUAAGAAUUGAAAAUGAAAACAUUAACUCCUUUCCACUGAUCCCCACAGCUUAUUCUGUCCAACCUCAAAAUCCUGCCUUUUGCUUUAUCAAUAGUCAAAUCCACUAAGAACCCAUUCUUCAAGCACAUGAUUGAAGUUAUGUAAUCCUAUAAUGUAGCAAAAGUUGAACCAAUUUAUAAGUGAAUGAAAGAAGUAUAAAGCCUCCAAACUUUGCUAUGUAAACAGAAAAAAACAAGCACCGGAAAUGAAAACACAUGAACUUGCUGUGUGUGUUGUGAAAAAAAUAUAGUGAGAGGAUGAGCAGAUCCCGAUUAGUGAUCGUUAAUAAGAAACUCAUAUUUGAGGAUGAGCAAUGUGAAGCAAAGAAGUGAUUGACUGGCGCUGCUUGUUACUUAGGAGUCCCCCACAAACAUUAUCUUCUUUCCUGUGUCUCUGUCCAACAACUUCUUACCAUCAAACCUGUGACCAAUAACAGCAUUUUGGGAGGGAAGAAAAAGAAUUUAUCUUAAAUGGGCUGCACCAACUUAAAAUUCAUAUAAAUAGACCAAUAAAUGUCAUUGUUUAAUAGUGAAUAAACCAAUAAUAAAAUGGGCUGCAUCAACCUGUCAUCAAUGUUUCACUGACACAGCUCCAUAAUAUAUAUGUAUGUAAUGGGUGAAACAGUACCAAAAAUUAGAAAGAAAAGGAGGAACGGAAAACAGGGAUAGGUUAGUAAAAAGGGUUCCCUGUUGGGUACAGGGGAUUGGGUAAUAUGGUAUUGUACGUCACUGAUCUAAGUCAUGGUAUCUUUGUGAGGUUGCAUAGAUUGUACUGUCUGUUUUGUUAGAAGAAAAUAUGUUUUAAGCAAGCCAAAUUGUCUUCUUACCCAUUUUUUGUUUGUCUUUACUAAGAAAGAUGAAAAGAGAUGAACCCCACCUUUUUUGUUUGACUAAAAUAUUCACAUAUGCAUACAUCGAAAAUUAAGAAGGUAUGAGAAGAAGCAAACAUAUGUAUCAUUAGUAACACAUAAAGAUAAGAUCAUUCAUAGAAUUUAAAAUAAACAUACCCUUAAAUUGAUAUUUUAUUUUUUAAAUAAUGGCAAACAGUCAGUUAAACUAAGCCUUAUAAAUAGUGAUGAUUGAGAAGAAAAAUGAAGAGAAGUAGAAGAGUUGACAUUUGGAGGAAGAAGGAAAGAGAGGGAGUUGAAAUGAUUGAUGAGUGUGGUGGGGUGUUCCCCAUCAUAAAAGGCUACCAUAAGAUGUUAGGUGUAUUGUCACCUUCUCUCUCUUUCUGUAGUGUUGCCUACUAAAGUGGGUGCUCAGUCUAGAUACAAACAUUGUAUAAGCUUUCUAUUUCCUCAGAGGUUUUCGAUAUUUCUUCCUUUUUUUAUGCCGGUUAAGCUUCUAAUUAUUUAUAUAUGUAAAAUAUUUUCUACAUGUGUUUACUACGGUCAGAUCAAAUUUUACAAAACUAUACUACUUUUUGUUCCAUAACUUUGAUAAAGUGUAAAAAAGAAAAACUAUAAUUUAGUUUAGGAAACUUAAUUUUUUAUAACAAUUUUAAAACGAAAAAAAUACUUAAUUUUUUUAAUUUAAAUUAUUUCUUUUCUAGUCUGGAGAUUGAAAAUAGAUGCAUGGUAAAUUUUAGAGCCUAAAAGUUAUUUCUAUACACCAUCAAUACUUUUAAAAAGAAUUACUGUAAAAGUUAACAAAUUUAUUAACCAACUAAAAUUUCUUUACACUGUUAAUCCACAAACUAUUGACAUAAGUGAUGAAGAAAGAAUGGAUUAAGGUAUGUAAUAGACUAAUUAAGAUUGAGAUGAUGAUAACAUGAAGGAUUAAGUGAAAGAGAAGUAAUGUGAAGGUCUUAGAUAGCAGGGUGUGUGUCUUAGGUUGGUUUGACCUUACGGCUUCAACAAGAAACAUUUGAAAAGGGGCUAUUAACAAACCUUUUUAUCAUCACUCAAUCACAUUUAUUUUGUUACUUUAAAUGUGUUGUAUACAACUCUAAAUAUAUAAAACAUGUUACACACAUUUAGAAGUCUAAAUUCAGUUGCACAUUUGACAUUUAUUUACAAUGUUUAAAUUAGGUUAAACUAAAGUUACAAAUGUAAAUAUAUUUCUCUUAAAGUUACAAAUCUAAAUAUAUUUCUCUUUAUCGAUAUAUGUCAAACAAGUUUUGAUGCUUACGUUGUGCUUUAAAAUUAACAUGUGAAUAUAGUUCAAAAUACCAGGAUAGAAAAUCAGGUUAUUUUUGUUUUAUUCUAAAAGUAGUUCACCAACAUGCAAAUCCUAAAGCAUGUGGUUGAUGUAGCAACAGAAAAUAAGCUUUUGAAAGACAGUUAGUUACCAACCUCCAAACUUCUUCUUUUUCACUCUUUAUAUAGUCCUCUGAGUUCAUAAACGGGUACACACUCAUCCCACUAAGUUAAUCAUGGACAAAGCAAGCACUAAAUAUGCUUUUAAUGUUUAAAUGCUUAGUUUCAUUUGUUGUUUUAUUCUUUUCCUCGAUAACAUGUCUGAACUGUUUCACUAUUGUUUUUUCCAUUUUCCAUAAUUUUCCAUGCAUUUAGACCACCAGUGAAUGUUCAUCUAUAUGUUUUAUGUUUUAACUAUAAAUUACAUGUUCUAUGGAUUAAUGCAUGUUCUAUUUCUUAAUGGAUGUUCUAUGGAUAUUGAUUAGUGAUUGCAUCUUUGAGAUGCACAUUAUGCAGGUCUGUUUGUGCUUUAAACUGUUAUGCAGGUCUGUUUACGUGGUUAGUUUCUUAAGAAAUACAAUAAUUUGUUAUUCUUUCGUGCAAUUUACCGAAGGCUUUUGCCCCUCGGUAAAUAUCCAUCUCAGGUAAUUACCGAAGGCUUUUGGCCCUCGGUAAAUACCGAAGGCUUUUGGCCCUCGGUAAAUACCGAAGGCUUUUGGCCCUCGGUAAUUACCGAAGGGCAAAAGCCCUCGGUAAAU